AUUGAACGCUGGCGGCAUGCUUUACACAUGCAAGUCGAACGGUAACAGGCCUUCGGGUGCUGACGAGUGGCGAACGGGUGAGUAAUGCAUCGGAACGUACCCAGAGGUGGGGGAUAACGCAGCGAAAGCUGUGCUAAUACCGCAUGUGAUCUGAGGAUGAAAGCGGGGGACCGAGCAGCAAUGUUUGGCCUCGCGCCUUUGGAGCGGCCGAUGUCGGAUUAGCUAGUUGGUGGGGUAAAGGCCUACCAAGGCGACGAUCCGUAGCUGGUCUGAGAGGACGACCAGCCACACUGGACUGAGACACGGCCCAGACUCCUACGGGAGGCAGCAGUGGGGAAUUUUGGACAAUGGGCGCAAGCCUGAUCCAGCAAUGCCGCGUGCGGGAAGAAGGCCUUCGGGUUGUAAACCGCUUUUGGCAGGAACGAAACGGUGUCCGCUAAUACCGGGCGCUAAUGACGGUACCUGCAGAAUAAGCACCGGCUAACUACGUG
rnacentral:rRNA from 1 species